rnacentral:rRNA from 1 species
UGCAAGUCGAACGGCAGCACGGGUGCUUGCACCUGGUGGCGAGUGGCGAACGGGUGAGUAAUACAUCGGAACGUACCUUAUCGUGGGGGAUAACGCAGCGAAAGUUGCGCUAAUACCGCAUACGCCCUGAGGGGGAAAGCGGGGGACCGUAAGGCCUCGCGCGAUUAGAGCGGCCGAUGUCUGAUUAGCUUGUUGGUGAGGUAAAAGCUCACCAAGGCGAUGAUCAGUAGCUGGUCUGAGAGGACGAUCAGCCACACUGGGACUGAGACACGGCCCAGACUCCUACGGGAGGCAGCAGUGGGGAAUUUUGGACAAUGGGGGCAACCCUGAUCCAGCAAUGCCGCGUGAGUGAAGAAGGCCUUCGGGUUGUAAAGCUCUUUUGUCAGGGAAGAAACAGCAGCUCUAACACAGAGUGCGAAGGACGGUACCUGAAGAAUAAGCACCGGCUAACUACGUGCCAGCAGCCGCGGUAAUACGUAGGGUGCGAGCGUUAAUCGGAAUUACUGGGCGUAAAGCGUGCGCAGGCGGUUAUACAAGACAGGCGUGAAAUCCCCGGGCUUAACCUGGGAAUGGCGUCUGUGACUGUAUAGCUAGAGUGUGUCAGAGGGGGGUGGAAUUCCACGUGUAGCAGUGAAAUGCGUAGAUAUGUGGAGGAACACCAAUGGCGAAGGCAGCUUCCUGGGAUAACACUGACGCUCAU